rnacentral:lncRNA from 1 species
UUGGAACACUGGAAGGAUUUUCUCUCCUUGAGUUCCCAUUAAUUUAAAUCAAAACUAAAGUUCACGGUGUCUCUCUUCUGCUGGUGACAUUUUCCACUUCACACAUUGUCAACCUCAUUUAACACGUUGCUACUCGGCUGCGGUCACCUCUGCGGGAACGGCACACCCAAACAGCAGCAGCUUUUCUUCCUGCCCUNNNNNNNNNNNNNNGCCCACCGUGGCGGCCAGGGAUGUCCAGCCCUGGUCUCUGUUCUCCAGGGCGUUUCCAUGGGACCCAGGUGUCAGAAAUGCCUCACAAUAAAAUGAACCUAAACAACGUAUUGUCUGGAGACAUAUUUAAAAAUACAACUACUGUUGGCUGGGUGUGGUGGCUCACACUCGUAAUCCCAGCACUUUGGGAGGCUGAGGCAGGUGGAUCACUGGAGGCCAGGACUUUGAG